UGCUAAUGGUGCAUUUCAAGCGUGCCCUCGACUACUGCCAUUAAUAGUUGCCCGACUGAGUAUUUUGGGCCUAACUAAGCUAAUGAUGUUCGAUAAUUGUUCUCCUAUUCGCAUUACUUGCCUGGGCCAGGUAACCAAAAUAAACAAUGCCACCACAUGAA
rnacentral:lncRNA from 1 species